UUUUUUUAGUUUUUGUAGUAGUGUGUAUAAAUAUCUGGCAUAUUUAUACCACAUCAUUUUUUAUCCUGUCCAUCUCAAAUACAAGUUAAUCUAGCACUCAUUUCAUCGUCUUCAAGGAAGAACACACGUCAAACUAGAAUACUGACGGUGGUCUUCACAGUCAGAAAUCAGUAUCACAGUCAGGGAUCAAGAACCUCGCCAGGAGGCCAUGCCCAGUUACACGAGUACUCGACACUCUGUUCCUCACAGCUCAGGUUGGAAUGUUUGUUUUUAAACUAUUUAAAUCUGUUCACAUUGGGCAAGCCCUGUCAAAAAUGAUCUGAAAGCCACAAAUUAACAGAUUCUGAAACUACUGUUAUCAUUCAUAAAAAUUUCUCUCUCAUAUUAAAGAUGUUCUGAGAAAACAAGUAUAGGUUAUUUAAUAUAACUUCACAUUUUACCACAACUACUUUUAAGACACUGGAAAGCAACCGAGAGUUGGGGAAAACUGAACAGAACCUAAGACAGGUGAUACUAGGUUUACCAACACAGAAACUGAUCACAGAAGUCUACAGCAGUUCUCUCUCGAGUCCAGCAGCCUAUUAAGACAUUAACUUACUCACUUUAUUAAUGUGCCUUGCACAAAAAGAUACUGCUUAAAUUUUUCCCAUCUCCUAUCUUCAGAGAAUGUUCUACACAAAUAGUAUUGUUAUUGCAUGUUACUAAACUCCAGCCUAAAUGAGCCUCGUCAUUCAAAUGAUAGAAUUUUUCAGUUUCAAACAUAUAUUACUCUAAAAAUAGACUCCUCUGUGAAAAGACAACUGUUUGAUGUCAGAUCAAUAAUCAGCUAAAUAUUUAUUGAGCACCUACUAGGACUGUACCCAGUCUACACUCAUUCUUUAACUGAUAAGGAAAAAAUACCUGCUUCAAAUGCAAGAUGACACUGGUGAGGGAGGGUACUAUAUGAGCACUUUUAAUAGAAUGCUGUGUGAGUCAGUAUCUGAGUGUGUGGAAUUAUUCAUCCCUAGGACAUGAAAACACCUCAGAUUUAUUACUAAUCACUUUAUAAAGAUAAACAUUUGAAGU
rnacentral:lncRNA from 1 species